CAUCAGUAAAUUUAUCGAGUAGUGGCGAACGAUAUUCGUUCAAUGACGUUAUUCAUAUUUCUAAUAAUUACUGUACGUCGCACAUAAAUAUAGAUUUAUUUUACAAAGAGCUCUAGUGUUUGUCGAUCUAUCAUUCUAACCUUUCAUUACUUGUGCGAAACUGUACAAGAAACUUACAUUCACAGUUUUUAAUAGUCAAUAAACAUUCAAUAAUAAUUAAUUUAAAUACAUACUAAUUUUAUAUCAAGUCAAAAAAAAACAGUUUAAUUCUUAUUCAAUUUGUGUUUGUGACAAUUCAUUUUACAACUAAUCAAUUUACAGAUAAUAUGUGUUGUAACGAUCAAAAUCAAACCGUCGAUAAUCACAUUCACAGUUUACGUUUAUUAAAGUUAUAUAAAUUAUUUCUUCACGUUUCAAUAAAUUAUUCACAGAAAUCAUACAGAAGAUCACGCUGCCAUACAAUAUGAUUCCAAACAUAAAGUUAAUAUGUAGAAAAUUAUUAAUACAAUAAUUAUAUUUUAUUUUGAUUUCACAAAUUAACGGUUAAGUUAAAUAAACAGUUUAAAUCUUAAUUAAUUGGUGUUUGUAUCAAUUCAUUUUUCAACUACUAUUUAUUCAACGUAAACGUACAAUUUAAGAUGUGUACAGUAAUCAACCUACUAUAAUACCUACUAUAUUAUUAUGUAAAAAAAUUAUGAAUAAAAUAAUUAUAUUUGAUUUUGAUUUCACAAAUUAACAGUCAAGUUAAAUAAACAGUUUAAUUCUUAACCAAUUUGCGUUUGUACUAAUUAAUUUUUCAACUGUUAACAAAUCAAUGUCAACAUACAUUGGAAAUUCAAGAUUUUAUAAGUUAUUAAGUGGUUAAUACCUAUUGGUACUAUAACAUGGAAAAACUGAAAGAAAAAAUAAUUAUAAUCAAUUUCGAAUUCACUAACUAUCGACGUACACUAAGGAACUGAUUUAAUACUUAUUAUUACAGAAAUAUCAUACAAAAGCUAAAAAAA